rnacentral:rRNA from 1 species
AUUGAACGCUGGCGGCAGGCCUAACACAUGCAAGUCGAGCGGCAGCGGAAAGUAGCUUGCUACUUUGCCGGCGAGCGGCGGACGGGUGAGUAAUGUCUGGGAAACUGCCUGAUGGAGGGGGAUAACUACUGGAAACGGUAGCUAAUACCGCAUGACCUCGAAAGAGCAAAGUGGGGGAUCUUCGGACCUCACGCCAUCGGAUGUGCCCAGAUGGGAUUAGCUAGUAGGUGAGGUAAUGGCUCACCUAGGCGACGAUCCCUAGCUGGUCUGAGAGGAUGACCAGCCACACUGGAACUGAGACACGGUCCAGACUCCUACGGGAGGCAGCAGUGGGGAAUAUUGCACAAUGGGCGCAAGCCUGAUGCAGCCAUGCCGCGUGUGUGAAGAAGGCCUUAGGGUUGUAAAGCACCUUCAGCGAGGAGGAAGGCAUCAUACUUAAUACGUGUGGUGAUUGACGUUACUCGCAGAAGAAGCACCGGCUAACUCCGUGCCAGCAGCCGCGGUAAUACGGAGGGUGCAAGCGUUAAUCGGAAUUACUGGGCGUAAAGCGCACGCAGGCGGUUUGUUAAGUCAGAUGUGAAAUCCCCGCGCUUAACGUGGGAACUGCAUUUGAAACUGGCAAGCUAGAGUCUUGUAGAGGGGGGUAGAAUUCCAGGUGUAGCGGUGAAAUGCGUAGAGAUCUGGAGGAAUACCGGUGGCGAAGGCGGCCCCCUGGACAAAGACUGACGCUCAGGUGCGAAAGCGUGGGGAGCAAACAGG